rnacentral:rRNA from 1 species
UUUUUAUUGUUGUGUAUUAUUCUCGACUCUCGCAUCAAUAAAGAAUGUAACGAAAUGCGAUACUUGGUGUGAAUUGUAGGAUCUUGUGAACCACACUAAGUUUUUGAACGGAAGUUGCGGCUAGAGCCUUCUGGCCGAGGGCACGUCUGCCUAGGCAUCA